rnacentral:rRNA from 1 species
GAUGAACGCUGGCGGCGUGCCUAAUACAUGCAAGUCGAGCGAACGGACGAGAAGCUUGCUUCUCUGAUGUUAGCGGCGGACGGGUGAGUAACACGUGGAUAACCUACCUAUAAGACUGGGAUAACUUCGGGAAACCGGAGCUAAUACCGGAUAAUAUUUUGAACCGCAUGGUUCAAAAGUGAAAGACGGUCUUGCUGUCACUUAUAGAUGGAUCCGCGCUGCAUUAGCUAGUUGGUAAGGUAACGGCUUACCAAGGCAACGAUGCAUAGCCGACCUGAGAGGGUGAUCGGCCACACUGGAACUGAGACACGGUCCAGACUCCUACGGGAGGCAGCAGUAGGGAAUCUUCCGCAAUGGGCGAAAGCCUGACGGAGCAACGCCGCGUGAGUGAUGAAGGUCUUCGGAUCGUAAAACUCUGUUAUUAGGGAAGAACAUAUGUGUAAGUAACUGUGCACAUCUUGACGGUACCUAAUCAGAAAGCCACGGCUAACUACGUGCCAGCAGCCGCGGUAAUACGUAGGUGGCAAGCGUUAUCCGGAAUUAUUGGGCGUAAAGCGCGCGUAGGCGGUUUUUCAAGUCUGAUGUGAAAGCCCACGGCUCAACCGUGGAGGGUCAUUGGAAACUGGAAAACUUGAGUGCAGAAGAGGAAAGUGGAAUUCCAUGUGUAGCGGUGAAAUGCGCAGAGAUAUGGAGGAACACCAGUGGCGAAGGCGACUUUCUGGUCUGUAACUGACGCUGAUGUGCGAAAGCGUGGGGAUCAAACAGGAUUAGAUACCCUGGUAGUCCACGCCGUAAACGAUGAGUGCUAAGUGUUAGGGGGUUUCCGCCCCUUAGUGCUGCAGCUAACGCAUUAAGCACUCCGCCUGGGGAGUACGACCGCAAGGUUGAAACUCAAAGGAAUUGACGGGGACCCGCACAAGCGGUGGAGCAUGUGGUUUAAUUCGAAGCAACGCGAAGAACCUUACCAAAUCUUGACAUCCUUUGACAACUCUAGAGAUAGAGCUUUCCCCUUCGGGGGACAAAGUGACAGGUGGUGCAUGGUUGUCGUCAGCUCGUGUCGUGAGAUGUUGGGUUAAGUCCCGCAACGAGCGCAACCCUUAAGCUUAGUUGCCAUCAUUAAGUUGGGCACUCUAAGUUGACUGCCGGUGACAAACCGGAGGAAGGUGGGGAUGACGUCAAAUCAUCAUGCCCCUUAUGAUUUGGGCUACACACGUGCUACAAUGGACAAUACAAAGGGCAGCGAAACCGCGAGGUCAAGCAAAUCCCAUAAAGUUGUUCUCAGUUCGGAUUGUAGUCUGCAACUCGACUACAUGAAGCUGGAAUCGCUAGUAAUCGUAGAUCAGCAUGCUACGGUGAAUACGUUCCCGGGUCU